CACAGCCAGAAAACUUUGCCCUUUCCUGCCUGGCUCCACAAAGCAGAAGAAACAAGACCCCGGAACAGUGGAAAGGGAGGCAGUUUGUAAUUCUGACUGGAGAUGAGCAGCCACACUCCAGGAGAUUUACAGAAGGGAGAGUGACAGCUGGGGAAAGCUUGUUUUUUUGCUCCUGUGCAAGGAGCUAUUCAGACAUUACAGAUGUGCAUUGACUUCAGACAAAUCCCAAAUCCAGAGCCAAAAAAGUAUCACAUUUCAGAAGGAUUUUGGACAAAUCUCAACUGAAGCAGGUACCUUCUGAAUCGACCUAAGCCAAACUGGGCUGUUUCAUGGAGAUUUGGUACCAAUACAGAUGGACAAAGGCACUUAGACAAGACUCUGGUUUGAAGAAUGUUCUAAUUGGAGGUUGUGGGCAAGAGCAUAGAAGUGAAAAGAGCAGAAGAUGACGUGUUUGAAAAGAUAGCUCCUGUUUUAGUGCAAGCUGAUUGUGGAGCCUGAUCCCGUUAACAGACAGCAGGAUGCCUGAGACUGAAGAAGCGCUUUCUGUAUGUCUUGUGAAAAUCUACUUAGUGGCGAAUCACUGCAGUCGGAAAGGA